AGCGAACGCUGGCGGCAGGCUUAACACAUGCAAGUCGAACGGGCACUUCGGUGCUAGUGGCAGACGGGUGAGUAACGCGUGGGAACGUGCCUUUCGGUUCGGAAUAAUCCAGGGAAACUUGGACUAAUACCGGAUACGCCCUUCGGGGGAAAGAUUUAUCGCCGAAAGAUCGGCCCGCGUCUGAUUAGCUAGUUGGUGAGGUAAAGGCUCACCAAGGCGACGAUCAGUAGCUGGUCUGAGAGGAUGAUCAGCCACACUGGGACUGAGACACGGCCCAGACUCCUACGGGAGGCAGCAGUGGGGAAUAUUGGACAAUGGGCGAAAGCCUGAUCCAGCCAUGCCGCGUGAGUGAUGAAGGCCUUAGGGUUGUAAAGCUCUUUUGUCCGGGAAGAUAAUGACUGUACCGGAAGAAUAAGCCCCGGCUAACUUCGUG
rnacentral:rRNA from 1 species